UACGUAGGUGGCAAGCGUUGUCCGGAAUUACUGGGUGUAAAGGGAGCGUAGGCGGGAAGGCAAGUCAGAUGUGAAAUCCACAGGCUUAACCUGUGGCGUGCAUUUGAAACUGUUUUUCUUGAGUGAAGUAGAGGCAGGCGGAAUUCCGAGUGUAGCGGUGAAAUGCGUAGAUAUUCGGAGGAACACCAGUGGCGAAGGCGGCCUGCUGGGCUUUUACUGACGCUGAGGCUCGAAAGCAUGGGUAGCAAACA
rnacentral:rRNA from 1 species